GCGGCAGGCUUAACACAUGCAAGUCGAGCGGAUGAAGGUAGCUUGCUACUGGAUUCAGCGGCGGACGGGUGAGUAAUGCUUAGGAAUCUGCCUAUUAGUGGGGGACAACGUUCCGAAAGGNGCGCUAAUACCGCAUACGUCCUACGGGAGAAAGCAGGGGACCUUNGGGCCUUGCGCUAAUAGAUGAGCCUAAGUCGGAUUAGCUAGUUGGUAGGGUAAAGGCCUACCAAGGCGACGAUCUGUAGCGGGUCUGAGAGGAUGAUCCGCCACACUGGGACUGAGACACGGCCCAGACUCCUACGGGAGGCAGCAGUGGGGAAUAUUGGACAAUGGGGGGAACCCUGAUCCAGCCAUGCCGCGUGUGUGAAGAAGGCCUUUUGGUUGUAAAGCACUUUAAGCGAGGAGGAGGCUACCUAGAUUAAUACUUUAGGAUAGUGGACGUUACUCGCAGAAUAAGCACCGGCUAACUCUGUGCCAGCAGCCGCGGUAAUACAGAGGGUGCGAGCGUUAAUCGGAUUUACUGGGCGUAAAGCGUGCGUAGGCGGCCAAUUAAGUCAAAUGUGAAAUCCCCGAGCUUAACUUGGGAAUUGCAUUCGAUACUGGUUGGCUAGAGUAUGGGAGAGGAUGGUAGAAUUCCAGGUGUAGCGGUGAAAUGCGUAGAGAUCUGGAGGAAUACCGAUGGCGAAGGCAGCCAUCUGGCCUAAUACUGACGCUGAGGUACGAAAGCAUGGGGAGCAAACAGGAUUAGAUACCCUGGUAGUCCAUGCCGUAAACGAUGUCUACUAGCCGUUGGGGCCCUUGAGGCUUUAGUGGCGCAGCUAACGCGAUAAGUAGACCGCCUGGGGAGUACGGUCGCAAGACUAAAACUCAAAUGAAUUGACGGGGGCCCGCACAAGCGGUGGAGCAUGUGGUUUAAUUCGAUGCAACGCGAAGAACCUUACCUGGCCUUGACAUACAGAG
rnacentral:rRNA from 1 species